rnacentral:rRNA from 1 species
GACGAACGCUGACGGUGUGCUUUAGACAUGCAAGUCGAGCGAGAAAGCCCUUCGGGGUUAGUAAAGCGGCGAACGGGUGAGUAACACGUGGGCAAUCUGCCCCUCGCAGGGGGACGAACCGGGGGAAACGUCCGGCUAAUACCCCGUAAGUUUCCAAAGUCGCAUGGCAUUGGAAAGAAAAGGCAGCUUCGGCCAUCCGGCGAGGGAUGAGCCCGCGGUACAUUAGCUAGUUGGUGGGGUAACGGCCUACCAAGGCGGCGAUGUAUAGCUGGUCUGAGA